rnacentral:rRNA from 1 species
AUUGAACGCUGGCGGCAGGCCUAACACAUGCAAGUCGAGCGAGCGGCGGACGGGUGAGUAAUGUCUGGGAACCUGCCUGAUGGAGGGGGAUAACUACUGGAAACGGUAGCUAAUACCGCAUACCAUCAGAUGUGCCCAGAUGGGCUUAGCUAGUAGGUGGGGUAACGGCUCACCUAGGCGAUGAUCCCUAGCUGGUCUGAGAGGAUGACCAGCGCCACUGUAACUGAGACACGGUCCAGACUCCUACGGGAGGCAGCAGUGGGGAAGAUUGCACAAGGGGCGCAAGCCUGAUGCAGCCAGGCCGCGUGUGUGAAGAAGGCCUUCGGGUUGUAAAGCACUUUCAGCGAGGAGGCGUUACCCGCAGAAGAAGCACCGGCUAACUCCGUGCCAGCAGCCGCGGUAAUUC